rnacentral:misc_RNA from 1 species
GAUGAAGAACGUAGCGAAAUGCGAUACGUAAUGUGAAUUGCAGAAUUCAGUGAAUCAUCGAAUCUUUGAACGCAUAUUGCGCUCUUUGGUAUUCCGAAGAGCAUGCUUGUUUGAGCAUCAGUAAACACCUCAAAGCUUUUGGAUUUUUUAAUCGAAAAGCUUUGGACUUGAGCAAUCCCAACACCAAUCUUUUUGAGAUCGGUGGCGGGUUGCUUGAAAUGCAGGUGCAGCUGGACAUUCUCCUGAGCUAAAAGCAUAUUCAUUUAGUCCCGUCAAACGGAUUAUUACUUUUGCUGCAGCUAACAUAAAGGGAGUUUGACCGUAUUGGCUGACUGAUGCAGGAUUUCACAAGGGUCGGCAACGAUUCUUGUUAAACUCGAUCUCAAAUCAAGUAAGACUACCCGCUGAACUUAAGCAUAUCAAUAAGCGGAGGA